rnacentral:SRP_RNA from 1 species
UGUCAAGCCCCGAACAAUAUAAAAUUACCCAACUCCGCCAGGUUCGGAAGAAAGCAACGGUAAGUAACUUUUGUAUGUGAUUUGGGUGUCUUGACAUUU